AUGUCAGGGGGGCAUUGCCUAGUUAACAGCUUGUACCUCUCCCAGACUUCAUAGAAGGUCUCACCAUCUCUCUGCCUGAAAGUCUGAACCUCCACUCUUAGCUU